rnacentral:rRNA from 1 species
UCUGGGACAAGCCCUGGAAACGGGGUCUAAUACCGGAUACCACUCUCUUCCGCAUGGGAGAGGGUUGAAAGCUCCGGCGGUGAAGGAUGAGCCCGCGGCCUAUCAGCUUGUUGGUGGGGUGAUGGCCCACCAAGGCGACGACGGGUAGCCGGCCUGAGAGGGCGACCGGCCACACUGGGACUGAGACACGGCCCAGACUCCUACGGGAGGCAGCAGUGGGGAAUAUUGCACAAUGGGCGAAAGCCUGAUGCAGCGACGCCGCGUGAGGGAUGACGGCCUUCGGGUUGUAAACCUCUUUCAGCAGGGAAGAAGCGAAAGUGACGGUACCUGCAGAAGAAGCGCCGGCUAACUACGUGCCAGCAGCCGCGGUAAUACGUAGGGCGCAAGCGUUGUCCGGAAUUAUUGGGCGUAAAGAGCUCGUAGGCGGCUUGUCACGUCGGAUGUGAAAGCCCGGGGCUUAACCCCGGGUCUGCAUUCGAUACGGGCAGGCUAGAGUGUGGUAGGGGAGAUCGGAAUUCCUGGUGUAGCGGUGAAAUGCGCAGAUAUCAGGAGGAACACCGGUGGCGAAGGCGGAUCUCUGGGCCAUUACUGACGCUGAGGAGCGAAAGCGUGGGGAGCGAACAGGAUUAGAUACCCUGGUAGUCCACGCCGUAAACGUUGGGAACUAGGUGUUGGCGACAUUCCACGUCGUCGGUGCCGCAGCUAACGCAUUAAGUUCCCCGCCUGG